AUACCGGAGAAUGUUAUCACGGGAGACACACGGCGGGUGCUAACGUCCGUCGUGAAGAGGGAAACAACCCAGACCGCCAGCUAAGGUCCCAAAGUCAUGGUUAAGUGGGAAACGAUGUGGGAAGGCCCAGACAGCCAGGAUGUUGGCUUAGAAGCAGCCAUCAUUUAAAGAAAGCGUAAUAGCUCACUGGUCGAGUCGGCCUGCGCGGAAGAUGUAACGGGGCUAAACCAUGCACCGAAGCUGCGGCAGCGACGCUUAUGCGUUGUUGGGUAGGGGAGCGUUCUGUAAGCCUGUGAAGGUGUGCUGUGAGGUAUGCUGGAGGUAUCAGAAGUGCGAAUGCUGACAUAAGUAACGAUAAAGCGGGUGAAAAGCCCGCUCGCCGGAAGACCAAGGGUUCCUGUCCAACGUUAAUCGGGGCAGGGUGAGUCGACCCCUAAGGCGAGGCCGAAAGGCGUAGUCGAUGGGAAACAGGUUAAUAUUCCUGUACUUGGUGUUACUGCGAAGGGGGGACGGAGAAGGCUAUGUUGGCCGGGCGACGGUUGUCCCGGUUUAAGCGUGUAGGCUGGUUUUCCAGGCAAAUCCGGAAAAUCAAGGCCGAGGCGUGAUGACGAGGCACUACGGUGCUGAAGCAACAAAUGCCCUGCUUCCAGGAAAAGCCUCUAAGCAUCAGGUAACAUCAAAUCGUACCCCAAACCGACACAGGUGGUCAGGUAGAGAAUACCAAGGCGCUUGAGAGAACUCGGGUGAAGGAACUAGGCAAAAUGGUGCCGUAACUUCGGGAGAAGGCACGCUGAUACGUAGGUGAAGCGACUUGCUCGUGGAGCUGAAAUCAGUCGAAGAUACCAGCUGGCUGCAACUGUUUAUUAAAAACACAGCACUGUGCAAACACGAAAGUGGACGUAUACGGUGUGACGCCUGCCCGGUGCCGGAAGGUUAAUUGAUGGGGUUAGCGCAAGCGAAGCUCUUGAUCGAAGCCCCGGUAAACGGCGGCCGUAACUAUAACGGUCCUAAGGUAGCGAAAUUCCUUGUCGGGUAAGUUCCGACCUGCACGAAUGGCGUAAUGAUGGCCAGGCUGUCUCCACCCGAGACUCAGUGAAAUUGAACUCGCUGUGAAGAUGCAGUGUACCCGCGGCAAGACGGAAAGACCCCGUGAACCUUUACUAUAGCUUGACACUGAACAUUGAGCCUUGAUGUGUAGGAUAGGUGGGAGGCUUUGAAGUGUGGACGCCAGUCUGCAUGGAGCCGACCUUGAAAUACCACCCUUUAAUGUUUGAUGUUCUAACGUGGACCCGUGAUCCGGGUUGCGGACAGUGUCUGGUGGGUAGUUUGACUGGGGCGGUCUCCUCCUAAAGAGUAACGGAGGAGCACGAAGGUUGGCUAAUCCUGGUCGGACAUCAGGAGGUUAGUGCAAUGGCAUAAGCCAGCUUGACUGCGAGCGUGACGGCGCGAGCAGGUGCGAAAGCAGGUCAUAGUGAUCCGGUGGUUCUGAAUGGAAGGGCCAUCGCUCAACGGAUAAAAGGUACUCCGGGGAUAACAGGCUGAUACCGCCCAAGAGUUCAUAUCGACGGCGGUGUUUGGCACCUCGAUGUCGGCUCAUCACAUCCUGGGGCUGAAGUAGGUCCCAAGGGUAUGGCUGUUCGCCAUUUAAAGUGGUACGCGAGCUGGGUUUAGAACGUCGUGAGACAGUUCGGUCCCUAUCUGCCGUGGGCGCUGGAGAACUGAGGGGGGCUGCUCCUAGUACGAGAGGACCGGAGUGGACGCAUCACUGGUGUUCGGGUUGUCAUGCCAAUGGCACUGCCCGGUAGCUAAAUGCGGAAGAGAUAAGUGCUGAAAGCAUCUAAGCACGAAACUUGCCCCGAGAUGAGUUCUCCCUGACCCUUUAAGGGUCCUGAAGGAACGUUGAAGACGACGACGUUGAUAGGCCGGGUGUGUAAGCGCAGCGAUGCGUUGAGCUAACCGGUACUAAUGAACCGUGAGGCUUAACCUUACAACGCCGAAG
rnacentral:rRNA from 1 species